GGGUCGAUGCCCGAGUGGUUAAUGGGGGCGGAUUGUAAAUCCGCUGGUUACACCUACACUGGUUCGAAUCCAGUUCGGCCCA
rnacentral:tRNA from 1 species